AUUGAACGCUGGCGGCAGGCCUUACACAUGCAAGUCGAGCGAGCGGCGGACGGGUGAGUAAUGUCUGGGAAACUGCCUGACGGAGGGGGAUAACUAAUGGAAACGGUAGCUAAUACCGCAUACCAUCAGAUGUGCCCAGAUGGGUUUAGCGGGUAGGUGGGGUAACGGCUCACCUAGGCGACGAUCCCCAGCUGGUCUGAGAGGAUGACCAGCCCCACUGGAAUUGAGACUCUGUCCAGACUCCUACGAGAGGCAGCAAUGGGGAAUAUUGCACAUUGGGCGCAAUCCGAAUGCAGCCAUGCCGCGUGUGUGAAGAAGGCCUUCAGGUGGUAAAGCACUUUCAGCGUUAAGGCGUUACCCGCAGAAGAAGCACCGGCUAACUCCGUGCAAGCAGCCGCGGUAAUUC
rnacentral:rRNA from 1 species